UUUGACCUCAAAUCAGGUAGACAGCCCCGGUCC
rnacentral:rRNA from 1 species